AUAUCACGUUUAAAUACCGGUUCCAGUAAGAACACCGAAGUUAAGCAUCAUCGAGCCUGGUCAGUACCUAGAUAGGUGACCGUUUGAGAACACUAGGUGCUGUAU